GAAAUGCGAGAAGUAAUGUGAAGUGCAGAAGGAAGUGAAGAAUAGAAUAUUUGAACGCACCUUGCGCUCCUUGGUAUUCCUUGGAGCAUGCCUGUUUGAGUAUCAUGAAAUCUUCAAAGUAAAUCUUUUGUUAACUCAAUUGGUUUCUACUUUGGUAUUGGAGGUCUUUGCAGCUUCACACCUGCUCCUCUUUGUUCAUUAGCUGGAUCUCAGUGUUAUGCUUGGUUCCACUCGGCGUGAUAAGUUAUCUAUCGCUGAGGACACUGUAAAAGGUGGCCAAGGUAAAUGCAGAUGAACCGCUUCUAAUAGUCCAUUGACUUGGACAAUACUUUUAUGAUCUGAUCUCAAAUCAGGUAGGACUACCCGCUGAACUUAAGC
rnacentral:misc_RNA from 1 species